rnacentral:rRNA from 1 species
UACGUAGGGUCCGAGCGUUGUCCGGAAUUAUUGGGCGUAAAGAGCUCGUAGGCGGUCUGUCGCGUCGGCUGUGAAAACUCGGGGCUCAACCCCGAGCCUGCAGUCGAUACGGGCAGACUAGAGUUCGGUAGGGGAGACUGGAAUUCCUGGUGUAGCGGUGAAAUGCGCAGAUAUCAGGAGGAACACCGGUGGCGAAGGCGGGUCUCUGGGCCGUAACUGACGCUGAGGAGCGAAAGCGUGGGGAGCGAACAGG